UGAGGGGUUUAGGUAAACUGGGACCUGGUAGAAUCCAUUGAAGGGUUUAGGUAAACUGUCUGGGACCUGGUAGAAUCCACUGAAGGGUUUAGGUAAACUGUCUGGGACCUGGUAGAAUCCAUUGAAGGGUUUAGGUAAACUGUCUGGGACCUGGUAGAAUCCAUUGAAGGGUUUAGGUAAACUGGGACCUGGUAGAAUCCAUUGAAGGGUUUAGGUAAACUGUCUGGGACCUGGUAGAAUCCAUUGAAGGGUUUAGGUAAACUGUCUGGGACCUGGUAGAAUCCAUUGAAGGGUUUAGGUAAACUGUCUGGGACCUGGUAGAAUCCAUUGAAGGGUUUAGGUAAACUGUCUGGGACCUGGUAGAAUCCAUUGAAGGGUUUAGGUAAACUGUCUGGGACCUGGUAGAAUCCAUUGAAGGGUUUAGGUAAACUGGGACCUGGUAGAAUCCAUUGAAGGGUUUAGGUAAACUGUCUGGGACCUGGUAGAAUCCAUUGAAGGGUUUAGGUAAACUGUCUGGGACCUGGUAGAAUCCAUUGAAGGGUUUAGGUAAACUGUCUGGGACCUGGUAGAAUCCAUUGAAGGGUUUAGGUAAACUGGGACCUGGUAGAAUCCAUUGAAGGGUUUAGGUAAACUGUCUGGGACCUGGUAGAAUCCAUUGAAGGGUUUAGGUAAACUGGGACCUGGUAGAAUCCAUUGAAGGGUUUAGGUAAACUGUCUGGGACCUGGUAGAAUCCAUUGAAGGGUUUAGGUAAACUGUCUGGGACCUGGUAGAAUCCAUUGAAGGGUUUAGGUAAACUGGGACCUGGUAGAAUCCAUUGAAGGGUUUAGGUAAACUGACUGGGACCUGGUAGAAUCCAUUGAAGGGUUUAGGUAAACUGUCUGGGACCUGGUAGAAUCCAUUGAAGGGUUUAGGUAAACUGGGACCUGGUAGAAUCCAUUGAAGGGUUUAGGUAAACUGACUGGGACCUGGUAGAAUCCAUUGAAGGGUUUAGGUAAACUGGGACCUGGUAGAAUCCAUUGAAGGGUUUAGGUAAACUGUCUGGGACCUGGUAGAAUCCAUUGAAGGGUUUAGGUAAACUGGGACCUGGUAGAAUCCAUUGAAGGGUUUAGGUAAACUGGGACCUGGUAGAAUCCAUUGAAGGGUUUAGGUAAACUGACUGGGACCUGGUAGAAUCCAUUGAAGGGUUUAGGUAAACUGUCUGGGACCUGGUAGAAUCCAUUGAAGGGUUUAGGUAAACUGGGACCUGGUAGAAUCCAUUGAAGGGUUUAGGUAAACUGUCUGGGACCUGGUAG